ensembl:snoRNA
CUGCACUGCUGAGUGGCUGGUUGGUCUCCUCCUUGACCUGAGUCUCAUUACAGUGCAAGAUGAACUCCCUUCUAGCAGAGGGGCCAGACUAUUUCAGUGGUCUGUCUCUUUAGAUAGUUGGGUACAAAC